UUAAGUUCAGCGGGUAUCCCUACCUGAUCCGAGGUCAACCUUGAUUGAAAUUUUAACGGGCACGGGGCCACCCCUCUCGCCAGCGAAUUUGAUGCCACAACGCUGAGAUACGGGUCGUCCAGCCGGUGAAAUUAAGGCGCGGGAGAGCCCCGCCGCCCAAUACCAAGCCGGGCUUGAGUGGUGUAAUGACGCUCGAACAG
rnacentral:misc_RNA from 1 species